UGACGGGUGAGUAACACGUGGAUAACCUACCUAUAAGACUGGGAUAACUUCGGGAAACCGGAGCUAAUACCGGAUAAUAUAUUGAACCGCAUGGUUCAAUAGUGAAAGACGGUUUUGCUGUCACUUAUAGAUGGAUCCGCGCCGCAUUAGCUAGUUGGUAAGGUAACGGCUUACCAAGGCAACGAUGCGUAGCCGACCUGAGAGGGUGAUCGGCCACACUGGAACUGAGACACGGUCCAG
rnacentral:rRNA from 1 species